GAUGAACGCUGGCGGCGUGCCUAAUACAUGCAAGUCGAGCGAACGGACGAGAAGCUUGCUUCUCUGAUGUUAGCGGCGGACGGGUGAGUAACACGUGGAUAACCUACCUAUAAGACUGGGAUAACUUCGGGAAACCGGAGCUAAUACCGUAUGAUAUUUUGAACCGCAUGGUUCAAAAGUGAAAGACGGUCUUGCUGUCACUUAUAGAUGGAUCCGCGCUGCAUUAGCUAGUUGGUAAGGUAACGGCUUACCAAGGCAACGAUGCAUAGCCGACCUGAGAGGGUGAUAGGCCACACUGGAACUGAGACACGGUCCAGACUCCUACGGGAGGCAGCAGUAGGGAAUCUUCCGCAAUGGGCGAAAGCAUGACGGAGCAACGCCACGUGAGUGAUGAAGGUCUUCGGAUCGUAAAACUCUGUUAUUAGGGAAGAACAUAUGUGUAAGUAACUGUGCACAGAUUGACGGUACCUAAUCAGAAAGCCACGGCUAACUACGUG
rnacentral:rRNA from 1 species